GGAGAAAAGCAGGGGAUCGCAAGACCUUGCGCUUUUGGAGCGGCCGAUGUCUGAUUAGCUUGUUGGUAAGGUAAAAGCUUACCAAGGCUUCGAUCAGUAGCUGGUCUGAGAGGACGACCAGCCACACUGGGACUGAGACACGGCCCAGACUCCUACGGGAGGCAGCAGUGGGGAAUUUUGGACAAUGGGGGCAACCCUGAUCCAGCCAUGCCGCGUGAGUGAAGAAGGCCUUCGGGUUGUAAAGCUCUUUCAGCCGGAACGAAACGGUUACGGUUAAUACCCGUGACUACUGACGGUACCGGAAGAAGAAGCACCGGCUAACUACGUGCCAGCAGCCGCGGUAAUACGUAGGGUGCGAGCGUUAAUCGGAAUUACUGGGCGUAAAGCGUGCGCAGGUGGUUUUGUAAGUCAGAUGUGAAAUCCCCGGGCUCAACCUGGGAACUGCGUUUGAAACUACAAAGCUAG
rnacentral:rRNA from 1 species